rnacentral:rRNA from 1 species
GACGAACGCUGGCGGCGUGCUUAACACAUGCAAGUCGAACGAGAGCGUAGAGAAAGCUUGCUUUUUCUACAAUCUAGUGGCAAACGGGUGAGUAACGCGUAAACAACCUGCCCUACGGAUGGGGACAACAGCUGGAAACGGCUGCUAAUACCGAAUACGUUCCGAAAGUCGCAUGACUAUCGGAAGAAAGGAUGGCCUCUAUUUAUAAGCUAUCGCCGGAGGAGGGGUUUGCGUCUGAUUAGCUAGUUGGAGGGGUAACGGCCCACCAAGGCGACGAUCAGUAGCCGGUCUGAGAGGAUGAACGGCCACAUUGGAACUGAGACACGGUCCAGACUCCUACGGGAGGCAGCAGUGGGGAAUCUUCCGCAAUGGGCGAAAGCCUGACGGAGCAACGCCGCGUGAGUGAAGACGGCCUUCGGGUUGGAAAGCUCUGUUAUACGGGACGAAUAAUCUUGUGGUUAAUACCCAUGAGAAGUGACGGUACCGUAAGAGAAAGCCACGGCUAACUACGUG